AACGAACGCUGGCGGCAUGCCUAACACAUGCAAGUCGAACGAGACCUUCGGGUCUAGUGGCGCACGGGUGCGUAACGCGUGGGAACCUGCCCUUAGGUUCGGAAUAACUCCCCGAAAGGGGUGCUAAUACCGGAUAAUGUCUUCGGACCAAAGAUUUAUCGCCUUUGGAUGGGCCCGCGUUGUAUUAGCUAGUUGGUAGGGUAAAAGCCUACCAAGGCGACGAUCCAUAGCUGGUCUGAGAGGAUGAUCAGCCACACUGGGACUGAGACACGGCCCAGACUCCUACGGGAGGCAGCAGUGGGGAAUAUUGGACAAUGGACGAAAGCCUGAUCCAGCAAUGACGCGUGAGUGAUGAAGGCCUUAGGGUUGUAAAGCUCUUUUACCCGGGAUGAUAAUGACAGUACCGGGAGAAUAAGCUCCGGCUAACUCCGUG
rnacentral:rRNA from 1 species